rnacentral:sRNA from 20 species
GGUUGUAUUUUGAGUCUGAAACUGAAUCAAAAGUGAAUCAAAACGUGAACAUCCAAACUACAUAUUGGGGACUUGUGGAUAACGUUAACC